AAUGUUCAAAGGCAAAACCAGGGAAACCUGGCGACGCAAAGCUAUAGGGCCUUAAAUGGUAGCCAGUUGUCAUU
rnacentral:ncRNA from 1 species